GCCCAGGUGGCGGAACUGGUAGACGCGCUAGUUUCAGGGACUAGUAACAGCAAUGUUGUGCAAGUUCGAUUCUUGUCCUGGGCACGA
rnacentral:tRNA from 1 species